rnacentral:rRNA from 1 species
CCUACGGGGGGCAGCAGUGGGGAAUAUUGCGCAAUGGGCGAAAGCCUGACGCAGCGACGCCGCGUGAGUGAUGAAGGUCUUCGGAUCGUAAACCUCUGUCAGCAGGGAAGAACGGUCACUGUGCUAAUCAGCAGGGAAUUGACGGUACCUGCAAAGGAAGCACCGGCUAACUCCGUGCCAGAGGCCGAUGUAAUAUGGAGGGGGCGAGCGUUAACCGGAAUUACUGGGCGUAAAGCGCGCGUAAACGGUUAGUCAAGUCAAGGGUGAAAUCCCCGGGCUCAACGUUGGAACUGCUUUUGAAACUGGCAAACUGGAGUGUAGGAGAGGAUAGCGGAAUUCCAGGUGUAGGAGUGAAAUCCGUAGAUAUCUGGAGGAACAUCAGUGGCGAAGGCGACUAUCUGGCACAUAACUGACGCUGAGGAGCGAAAGCGUGGGUAGCAAACAGGAUUAGAUACCCCAGUAGUC